AACGAACGCUGGCGGCAGGCUUAACACAUGCAAGUCGAACGCCUGUAGCAAUACAGGAGUGGCAGACGGGUGAGUAACACGUGGGAACGUGCCCAAAGGUACGGAACAACUCCGGGAAACUGGAGCUAAUACCGUAUGUGCCCGAAAGGGGAAAGAUUUAUCGCCUUUGGAUCGGCACGCGUCUGAUUAGCUAGCUGGUGGGGUAAUGGCCUACCAAGGCGACGAUCAGUAGCUGGUCUGAGAGGAUGGCCAGCCACACUGGGACUGAGACGCGGCCCAGACUCCUACGGGAGGCAGCAGUGGGGAAUAGUGGACAAUGGGCGCAAGCUUGAUCCAGCCAUGCCGCGUGAGUGAUGAAGGCCUUAGGGUUGUAAAGCUCUUUCGCCAGGGACGAUAAUGACGGUACCUGGAUAAGAAGCCCCGGCUAACUUCGUGCCAGCCGCCGCCGUAAUAC
rnacentral:rRNA from 1 species